GGGGUUGUAGCUUAGUGGUAGAGUGUUUGCCUAGCAAGUAUGAGGCCCUGGGUUCAAUCCUCAGUACCA
rnacentral:tRNA from 1 species